GCCGCUGUCUUUGGGGAGUAGUCGCCCGCAUCUCAGCGGGGUUCACGUCAACAGACUUGCCGGGUGACUGGCAUGGCGUGAACGGCCAAUUCGGCUUGGCGAGACCAGAGGUUGGCU
rnacentral:sRNA from 2 species